AACGCACAUUGCGCCCUUUGGUAUUCCGAAGGGCAUGCCUGUUCGAGCGUCAUUAUCACCCCUCAAGCCCUCGGCUUGGUGUUGGACGGUUUGGUGGAGACCCCCCUCGGGCGGGCUUCUACCCCUCCCAAAGACAAUGACGGCGGCCUCGUUGGACCCCCGGUACACUGAGUUCUUCACGGGACACGUAUCGGACACAUGGGUUUACGGGACACGGUCUGCCUCCCCUCAGGGAGAAUCUUUUUUAUCAAGGUUGACCUCGGAUCAGGUAGGGAUACCCGCUGAACUUAA
rnacentral:misc_RNA from 1 species